rnacentral:rRNA from 1 species
GAUGAACGCUAGCGAUAGGCUUAACACAUGCAAGUCGAGGGGCAGCACAAGGUAGCUUGCUAUCUGGGUGGCGACCGGCGCACGGGUGCGUAACGCGUAUGCAACUUGCCCUAUACAGGAGGAUAACCCGUCGAAAGACGGACUAAUACUGCGUAUGCUCACAACUUGGCAUCAAGUGGUGAGGAAAGAAAUUCGGUAUAGGAUAGGCAUGCGUCCCAUUAGCUUGUUGGUGAGGUAACGGCUCACCAAGGCAACGAUGGGUAGGGGAACUGAGAGGUUUAUCCCCCACACUGGUACUGAGACACGGACCAGACCCCUACGGGAGGCAGCAGUGAGGAAUAUUGGUCAAUGGGCGCGAGCCUGAACCAGCCAAGUCGCGUGAAGGAUGACUGUCUUAUGGAUUGUAAACUUCUUUUAUACGGGAAUAACAAGAGUCACGUGUGACUCCCUGCAUGUACCGUAUGAAUAAGCAUCGGCUAACUCCGUG